GACGAACGCUGGCGGCGUGCUUAACACAUGCAAGUCGAACGGAAAGGCCCUGCUUUUGUGGGGUGCUCGAUUGGCGAACGGGUGAGUAACGCGUGAGUAACCUGCCCUUGACUUUGGGAUAACUUCAGGAAACUGGGGCUAAUACCGGAUAGGAGCUCCUGCUGCAUGGUGGGGGUUGGAAAGUUUCGGCGGUUGGGGAUGGACUCGCGGCUUAUCAGCUUGUUGGUGGGGUAGUGGCUUACCAAGGCUUUGACGGGUAGCCGGCCUGAGAGGGUGACCGGCCACAUUGGGACUGAGAUACGGCCCAGACUCCUACGGGAGGCAGCAGUGGGGAAUAUUGCACAAUGGGCGGAAGCCUGAUGCAGCAACGCCGCGUGCGGGAUGACGGCCUUCGGGUUGUAAACCGCUUUCGCCUGUGACGAAGCGUGAGUGACGGUAAUGGGUAAAGAAGCACCGGCUAACUACGUG
rnacentral:rRNA from 1 species